UAUAUAUUCUUGAUAGAAGCCUCCAGCCAC
rnacentral:piRNA from 1 species